UGGGGAAUCUUGGACAAUGGGCGCAAGCCUGAUCCAGCCAUGCCGCGUGGAUGAUGAAGGCCUUAGGGUUGUAAAAUCCUUUCGUUGGGGACGAUAAUGACGGUACCCAAAGAAGAAGCUCCGGCUAACUUCGUGCCAGCAGCCGCGGUAAUACGAAGGGGGCUAGCGUUGUUCGGAUUUACUGGGCGUAAAGCGCGUGUAGGCGGACUUGUAAGUUGGGGGUGAAAUCCCGAGGCUCAACCUCGGAACUGCCUCCAAAACUACAAAUCUGGACCUAAGUAGAGGCAAGUGGAAUUGCGAGUGUAGAGGUGAAAUUCGUAGAUAUUCGCAGGAACACCAGUGGCGAAGGCGACUUGCUGGACUUAUGGUGACGCUGAGACGCGAAAGCGUGGGGAGCAAACAGGAUUAGAUACCCUCGUAGUCCCUGAGCGGGCUGGCAAGGCGCAU
rnacentral:rRNA from 1 species